CCGGGUGUUUGUCAUACGCCCUCUUGGCAAGUAUGGAAACACCCCGCGUACGACUGGAUCGGACACUGUUGUCCCGCCAGAUU
rfam:Morus notabilis contig34055, whole genome shotgun sequence.